UUUUUUUUUUUUUUUUUUUUGAGAAAGGGUCUUGCUCUGUUACCCAGGCUGGAGUGCAGUGAUCACAGCUCACUGUAACCUCAAACUCCUGGGCUCCGGUGAUCUUCCUGCCUCAGCCUCCUCAGUAGCUGGCACUAGGGGCACAUGCUGCUGUGCCUGGCUGAUUUUUUUUUCUUGUUUUUGUAGAGACCAGUUCUCUCUAAGCACAAAGACUUAUUUGUGCUUUCAACAUCAAAACUUAUAACAGGCCUGUAAUCCCAACACUUUGGGAGGCUGAGGCAGGUGGGUCACGUGAGGUCAGGAGUUCGAGAUCAGCCUGGGCAACAUGGUGAAACCCCUAUCUCUACUAAACAUACAAAAAUUAGCCAGGCAUCAUGGCCUGCGCCUGUGGUCCCAGCUACUAGGGAGGCUGAGGCAGGUGGGUCACGUGGGGUCAGGAGUUCGAGAUCAGCCUGGGCAACAUGGUGAAACCCCCAUCUCUACUAAAAAUACAAAAAUUAGCCAGGCAUCAUGGCCCACGCCUGUGGUCCCAGCUACUAGGGAGGCUGAGGUGGAAGGAUCGCUUAAGUCCUGGGGUCAAGGUUGCAGUGAGUUAUUAUCGUACCACUGUACUCCAGCCUGGGCAACAGUGAGACCCUGCCUCAAAAAAAAAAAAGAAAAUGAAACAAAAACUUACUUGCCUACUCCCACCUAAUUAGGUAGGAACAUCACCUAUAUCCCAAUAUUUAACUUUGUUACAUAAUGUUUGAGCUGAGGAGGAAGUUCUGAGAUCAUAAAGAACAAUUCCUUUAUUUUUCAGAGAAUCUGUGUGCCUAGAGAGGUUAUAUAUUUUGUUCUCACCAUUUAGCAGUUUGAAAAAUCUGUAUCACUUUUAUAUCACAGAACAUUCCUCAACAAUGAAUCGUCAUGGUCCCAUUUAAAAAGCCUUGAUGCAGGCACUACCAUCCGUGCUUCAUACAUCCCAAACCUCUUCACGUAGAUAGUUAUCCCAGCCUUUGCCUCUAAUGCACUGAUUUCUAAUUCUAAAUGCAGAGAUGGUGAAUUUGCAGCAACUAGGCAAGGAGCUUUUGGGGCUACCUGGGCCUGCAAUUGUCUAAGAAAUAAGUUUUAAGAAUUCAGAGGCUGAAAACAGCAAUCCUACUUGGGAUGUCGUCAUGCUUACUUCAGCCUGAAUCACACAGAAGAAAGCCUUCAAGCAUGGACCUGAAGCAAUGCUGUAAACACAAACAUCAAAAGGAAGAGGAGGCCAGGUGUGGUGGCUCACGCAUGUAAUCCCAGCACUUUGGGAAGCGGAGGCAGGUGGAUCACCUGAGGUCAGGAAUUCAAGAUCAGCCUGGCCAACAUGGUGAAACCCUGUCUCUGCU
rnacentral:lncRNA from 1 species